GGAGAUGUGGCCGAGUGGUCGAAGGCGCUCCCCUGCUAAGGGAGUAGGCCCGAAAGGGUCUCGUGGGUUCGAAUCCCAUCGUCUCCGCCA
rnacentral:tRNA from 3 species